rfam:Alligator sinensis unplaced genomic scaffold scaffold544_1, whole genome shotgun sequence
UAAAUUGUGCCGUGACAGUAUCACAGCCUGUGAGGUUCAACCAAGACAUGAUUAUUACUAGUUGAAAACUUUCCCCCUUCUCCCUUUUCCAUGUAUUGCUCAUGUCAGACAAUAAUACCAACAAAUAUAUAACCCCCAGGGGG